rnacentral:rRNA from 1 species
GACGAACGCUGGCGGCGCGCUUAACACAUGCAAGUCGAGCGAAGCGGCGGACGGGUGAGUAACACCUGAGUAACCUGCCUAAGAACUUGGGAUAGCCUCGGGAAACCGGGAUUAAUACCAAAUGGUCUAAGAUGGACUCGCGUCCCAUUAGCUAGUUGGUGGGUAACGGCCCCCGAAGGCGACGAUGGGUAGCCGGCCUGAGAGGUGCAACCGACACAUUGGAACUGGGAAACAGUCCAAACUCUGCGGAAGGGAGGAGUGGCGAAUGUUGCAAAAUGGAGCGAGCUCUGAUGCAGUGACGCGGGGUGAACAAAGAAAGCUUUGAGGUCGUAGAGUUCUUUUAUAUGCGAAUCGGUACCAUAAGAAGAAGCCCCGGCUAACUACGUGCCAGCAGCCGCGGUAAUUC